AAAAACUUGCCUAAAGGCAUUAUGGAUACAGCAUCCAAAAAGUUCACAUCCAAAAAUAACUGACAAGGGAGGAUUUAUUUCCAGCUUCACCUAAGCUAGCAAAUUACAGCAAUGCAUUGGAUUGUGUCGAAGGAGCCUGCUGCCCCUCAACUACCGGUUCCCUAUAUUGAGGAUUUGAUCAUGACAGAUGCUUACACAAAAGCAACGGAUAAAAUACAAUGGUUAAAGUCACAGCUUGUUAUUUCAAAGGAAAGAAUAAAGCAGAGUAUCAGACGCUUGAUGGUUUGCAGUUAAAAGUCUUGUACAGACUGAAGACCAGCCAUUCUUAUUACCAUCAUCAAGUGCAAGGGCAGCUGUAUCUGCUGAACAAGUAUAUGUGUGACUUUGUAGUAUGGACAACAAGAAUACCUCGUGAUGAAAACUGGAAUUCAAACAUAGACAAACCUUCAGACUUUAACAAAAUGAUCUUCAGAAGUAAUAAGUUUAAGAAAGAAACAUUCCAGAUGUUCAUUCUGUUUGUAUUCUUUUUAUUGUACACCACCUUGGUUCAUGAAAACCUACACAUGUA